rnacentral:rRNA from 1 species
UACGUAGGGGCCUAGCGUUGUCCGGAUUUAUUGGGCGUAAAGAGCUCGUAGGCGGUUCGGCAAGUCGGAUGUGAAAUCUCCACGCUCAACGUGGAGGGGCCAUUCGAAACUGCCGUGACUCGAGUCCGGUAGGGGAGUGCGGAAUUCCCGGUGUAGCGGUGAAAUGCGCAGAUAUCGGGAGGAACACCAGUGGCGAAGGCGACUUCCUGGCCUGUUCUUGACGCUGAGGCGCGAAAGCUAGGGUAGCAAACGGG